GUUUUUAGAUCCGUGUAAUAUAUUAUUUUAUAGAGGAAAGUAAUUAAAACUCGUGCAAUUUUUUCAUUUAUGUUCUUCAAAUCAAUUAAAAGAAAAUAAAAAAUUUUCAACACAUGAUAAUUGGAUACGCUGAAUCAAGAUUAUUUGGAAAAAGUGCAGUUUUGCUUGUGAGGUUCGAGAAAAUAUGCAGAAGAUGCAAAAUUUCGAAGGAUGAGCGUCUGAAGCGUUGUAACUACAUUUAAAAACAGGUGUCCUAUGUAUUAACAAGCCACCCAAAGUUUGGUUUAAAGUCAAACCAUCAAAUCCAGGACCUUUUUCUUUCUCGAUGCUCGUGUUGUAAAGAGAGAAGUAGAGGGCGCUGCUUGGAAGUAGCGCAAUGCAUGUAAGUAGAA